rnacentral:tRNA from 1 species
GCGAAGGUGGCGGAAUUGGUAGACGCGCUAGCUUCAGGUGUUAGUGUCCUUACGGACCUGGGGGUUCAAGUCCCCCCCCUCGCACCA